rnacentral:rRNA from 1 species
UGGGGGAUAUUGCACAAUGGGGGAAACCCUGAUGCAGCGACGCCGCGUGUGGGAAGACGGUCCUCUGGAUUGUAAACCACUGUCCUCAGGGACGAACAAGGACGGUACCUGAGGAGGAAGCUCCGGCUAACUACGUGCCAGCAGCCGCGGUAAUACGUAGGGAGCAAGCGUUGUCCGGAAUUACUGGGUGUAAAGGGAGCGUAGGCGGGACCGCAAGUUGGAUGUGAAAUCUACCGGCUCAACUGGUAGCUGCAUUCAAAACUGCGAUUCUUGAGUGAAGUAGAGGCAGGCGGAAUUCCUAGUGUAGCGGUGAAAUGCGUAGAUAUUAGGAGGAACACCAGUGGCGAAGGCGGCCUGCUGGGCUUUUACUGACGCUGAGGCUCGAAAGUGUGGGGAGCAAACAGG